ensembl:lncRNA
UGGGAAGUAAAAUGUCCUUCAGUAGAAGAGUCAAUGAUAAGGAAACAGAGUCAUCAUUAUCUGCCUCCCACAACAACCCUCCUGAACCCUUGCAUGCCCUGACUACCGACAAACAGGUGUCUGAGACGAUCAUCAAAGAAGUAAACACCUGCCAUAACAUGCCACCUAUGAAGGAGCCCUUAGGAAGACAACAACAGCAGAGAAAAUGUCGAAGCCAGCAGGAGGAAGUGGUAGAUGAAUCCCGUCAGACUGUGACUCUACCAAAUACCCCUGUUUUGACUGUCCUUGCUAAUUCUGAAAAGGUACCCACUGGUGACAUUAAUCCUACAAGAAAACGCUUAAAGUCUCAGGCGAACACAGAGAAAAUACAUGUUAGUACACUUGCUACCAGUCAUGUCAUUACUCAAUGUAAAAGCGGCGCAUCAGAGGAGCAAACCAUGAACUGUAUCCGUAAAGAGCCUGUGGAUGUGACAAGGCCCGCAGUGGUGGCGGUUGUUCGUAAACGUGGUCGCCCUCACAAGAAGGUAAAGAUUCAGCAUACUGACAUAGAGCCUAGUUCGAGCGUUACCGACUGUGUAGAGAACAUGGGAGACAAG